AUUGAACGCUGGCGGCAGGCCUAACACAUGCAAGUCGAGCGGCAGCGGAAAGUAGCUUGCUACUUUGCCGGCGAGCGGCGGACGGGUGAGUAAUGUCUGGGAAACUGCCUGAUGGAGGGGGAUAACUACUGGAAACGGUAGCUAAUACCGCAUGACCUCGAAAGAGCAAAGUGGGGGAUCUUCGGACCUCACGCCAUCGGAUGUGCCCAGAUGGGAUUAGCUAGUAGGUGAGGUAAUGGCUCACCUAGGCGACGAUCCCUAGCUGGUCUGAGAGGAUGACCAGCCACGCUGGAACUGAGACACGGUCCAGACUCCUACGGGAGGCAGCAGUGGGGAAUAUUGCACAAUGGGCGCAAGCCUGAUGCAGCCAUGCCGCGUGUGUGAAGAAGGCCUUAGGGUUGUAAAGCACUUUCAGCGAGGAGGAAGGCAUCAUACUUAAUACGUGUGGUGAUUGACGUUACUCGCAGAAGAAGCACCGGCUAACUCCGUGCCAGCAGCCGCGGUAAUACGGAGGGUGCAAGCGUUAAUCGGAAUUACUGGGCGUAAAGCGCACGCAGGCGGUUUGUUAAGUCAGAUGUGAAAUCCCCGCGCUUAACGUGGGAACUGCAUUUGAAACUGGCAAGCUAGAGUCUUGUAGAGGGGGGUAGAAUUCCAGGUGUAGCGGUGAAAUGCGUAGAGAUCUGGAGGAAUACCGGUGGCGAAGGCGGCCCCCUGGACAAAGACUGACGCUCAGGUGCGAAAGCGUGGGGAGCAAACAGG
rnacentral:rRNA from 1 species